rnacentral:rRNA from 1 species
CGGAGGGUGCGAGCGUUGUUCGGAAUUACUGGGCGUAAAGCGCGUGCAGGCGGCCGACUAAGUCCGGUGUGAAAGCCCGGGCUCACCUCCGGAAGUGCGCUGGAAACUAGUCGGCUAGAGUACGGGAGAGGGAAGUGGAAUUCCUGGUGUAGCGGUGAAAUGCGUAGAUAUCAGGAGGAACACCGGCGGCGAAGGCGGCUUCCUGGACCGAUACUGACGCUGAGACGCGAAAGCGUGGGGAGCAAACAGGAUUAGAUACCCUGGUAGUCCACGCUGUAAACGAUGGGUACUAGGUGUCGCGGGUGUUGACCCCUGCGGUGCCGCAGCUAACGCAUUAAGUACCCCGCCUGGGGAUUACGGUCGCAAGAUUA